UCAGAAUUUGGAGAAAUACUUGAACUUAGGUGUACCCACGGCUACCAGCUUCAGGACCAUACUUUCCCCCUACACCCUCGCCCAACUUGCACUUUUGCGCCUCUGGUUCCUAUUUCAGGGCCAUAACUUGGAUCUUUCCCUCCUUAUUGCUCUUCACAGAUGCAAGUGGUCGGAUGCAUAAUCCUCCCUUUGCCUCGUGAUCGCGGCAUCCGACCGACUUGGCGCUUGUUUUCUUUUUGGGGUCUCUUCAUUAAACCCUUCAAGUGCGUAGCAGGAGUUAUCUUCCUCUUGACGUGUACAUCACAUGGUAUUCGAGCGGCUGAACGUCUGUAAUGUACCUGGUGUCAUGGUUGUUCGGAUAAGGUCGUCUCAAACUUGACACUGAUGCACUUUUACCCCAUUCAGGGUGGGUCCCCCAGCUA